rnacentral:rRNA from 1 species
UUAUUAUUUACAAUAAUGAUUAGGUUUUGUGCAAUUCGACCUAGCUUGAAUUUAACGAGUUGAUUACUUUAAUAUAUAUAUUUAUGUUGAAUUUAUUAGAAAUAACUUUUUUAUUAGUAGUGUUUAUUGAAAUUUUUAUGUGUGUGAUAGUUUAUAGUACUGUAAAGGAAUUAUAAAUUUUAAUUUUAAGCAAAUUUUAUUUAUUGUACCUUUUGUAUCAGGGUUUAUUAAUAUAAAGAUUAAUUAUUUAAUUUUCCCGAAAUUAGAAGAGAUAUAUUUUUAUGAUAGUUUCUGUUUUAUAAUAAUUAUUAAUUUAAAUAUAGGGGUUAUAUGCUAUUCAUUUUUAAAUAUCUGGUUAUCUAAUAAAUUAAUUUAAUUAAAAUAAUUAAAUGUUGAUUUAUUUAUAUUAUUUUGUAAUUUUAAUCAAUAAAGGAUAAGCUUUUUUGAUUUUUUAUAAUUUUAUUAAAAUUUAAUUUUUGUAGGAUUAGUAACUUUCAUCAUUAAUUUCGUUAUAGUUUAGUUUAAUUUUAUUUUUAUUUAUUAUUAAAAUUUAAUUUUUUAUUAAAAUGUUUUAUUUAAUCUUUUUUUAUUUAUAAUAAUGAUAAAAUUAGUAUUUUUUUAUAUAAAAUAUAGUAACUCGGCAAUUUUAGUUUUCACCUGUUUAUCAAAAACAUGUCUUUUUGUUUUUAUAUAAAGUCUAGUCUGCUCUAUGAUUAAUUUUAAAUGGCCGCAGUAUUUUAACUGUGCAAAGGUAGCAUGAUCAUUUGCUUCUUAAUUAGGGGCUUGUAUGAAUGGCUGGAUGAGAAACUAACUUUCUUUAUUUUAUUUUAAAUAAUUUUAUUUUUUAGUUAAAAAGCUAAAAUAUUUUUAUUAGACGAGAAGACC